rnacentral:rRNA from 1 species
UACAGAGGUGGCAAGCGUUGUUCGGAAUUACUGGGCGUAAAGGGCGCGUAGGCGGUUCGUUAAGUCCUGUGUGAAAUCCCCCGGCUCAACUGGGGAACGGCACAGGAAACUAGCGGGCUUGAGUUCGGGAGAGGGAAGCGGAAUUCCGGGUGUAGCGGUGAAAUGCGUAGAUAUCCGGAGGAACACCGGUGGCGAAGGCGGCUUCCUGGACCGACACUGACGCUGAGGCGCGAAAGCUAGGGGAGCAAACAGG